GACGAACGCUGGCGGCGUGCCUAAUACAUGCAAGUAGAACGCUGAAGAGAGGAGCUUGCUCUUCUUGGAUGAGUUGCGAACGGGUGAGUAACGCGUAGGUAACCUGCCUUGUAGCGGGGGAUAACUAUUGGAAACGAUAGCUAAUACCGCAUAACAAUGGAUGACACAUGUCAUUUAUUUGAAAGGGGCAAUUGCUCCACUACAAGAUGGACCUGCGUUGUAUUAGCUAGUAGGUGAGGUAAUGGCUCACCUAGGCGACGAUACAUAGCCGACCUGAGAGGGGGACCGGCCCCCCGGGGCUUGACAACCGGCCCAGACCCACAGGGGGGGCAGGAGUGGGGAAUUUUCGGCAAUGGGGGCAACCCUGACCGAGCAACGCCGCGGGGGUAAAGAAGGUUUUCGGAUCGUAAAGCUCUGUUGUAAGUAAAGAACGGGUGUGGGAGUGGAAAGUUCAAACUGUGACGGUAGUUUACCAGAAAGGGCCGGCUAACUACU
rnacentral:rRNA from 1 species